GUAGGUGACCAGCGUUGUCCGGAUUUACUGGGCGUAAAGAGCGCGCAGGCGGUCGUUCAAGUCGAGUGUGAAAGCCCCCGGCUCAACUGGGGAGGGUCACUCGAUACUGAUCGACUUGAAGGCAGGAGAGGGAAGCGGAAUUCCCAGUGUAGCGGUGAAAUGCGUAGAUAUUGGGAGGAACACCGGUGGCGAAGGCGGCCACCUGGGCCGGAACUGACGCUGAGGCGCGAAAGCGUGGGGAGCAAACGGGAUUAGAUACCCCGGUAGUCCACGCCGUAAACGAUGGGCACUUGGUGUCGCGGGUAUCGACCCCUGCGGUGCCGAAGCUAACGCAUUAAGUGCCCCGCCUGGGGAGUACGGUCGCAAGGCUG
rnacentral:rRNA from 1 species